rnacentral:rRNA from 1 species
CAUUAAAGAGUUCUAUAACUCCCAAACCCAUGUGAACAUACCUAACGUUGCCUCGGCAGGUCGCACCUACCUUGUAGCACCCUACCCUGUAGGGCCUACCCGGGAGGUGCGGGUAAGCCUGCCGGCGGCCCACCAAACUCUGUUUGAUAUUGAAUUCUGAACCUAUAACUAAAUAAGUUAAAACUUUCAACAACGGAUCUCUUGGUUCUGGCAUCGAUGAAGAACGCAGCGAAAUGCGAUAAGUAAUGUGAAUUGCAGAAUUCAGUGAAUCAUCGAAUCUUUGAACGCAUAUUGCGCCCAUUAGUAUUCUAGUGGGCAGGACCGUUCGAGCGUCAUUUCAACCCUUAAGCCUUCGUUGCUUAGUGUUGGGAGCCUACGGCAACGUAGCUCCUCAAAGUUAGUGGCGGAGUUGGUUCACACUCUAGACGUAGUAAUUUUUUAUCUCGCCUAUUAGUUGGACUAAUCCCCUGCCGUAAAACCCCUAAUUUAUCAAGGUUGACCUCGAAUCGGUUCAGACAAACUCGCUAAAUUGAAGCAUCUUAGUCAGCGAAGGAAAAGAAACCAACAGGGAUUGCCCUAGUAACGGCGAGUGAAGCGGCAACAGCUCAAAUUUGAAAUCUGGCCCUCGGGUCCGAGUUGUAAUUUG